CAUAGUUAGUUAGUACUCUUCAUGUAUUUAUAUCAUUGUAAUCUUUGAGCAAUAAAAAAUAAAUUCUUUCCAUACCUUAUCGACAACAUGGGAUCAGAGCCUUGUCGGAUUUGAAAAGGUGGUAUGUCGAACUUCACGGCUGGUUAUUGUCGGAAUUAGCCACCGCCUUAUUUUUUAUUCUUGUGACUUAAAAUAUAAUUUUCACCAUCCUUCCAGGGAGAAUCAUCUCCCUUUGAUCCGUCAUUACCCAAAAAUCUGGUGGCCGGAGGAGACGCAAGUGGGUUUCUAGUGCCGGCUUCACCACCAGAGACUUUUGAGUUAGAGCCACAUGUGGAGGCGCGAGUGUGGACCAAUCGUGAUUUGGAUUUUUGAUUUGGCAUCGCCUUGUAAUUUCCGACUGACUUAUGGCAGUCUUCUAAUCAUUGGACCAAGUUUUGAAGAAUAAGCAUCAACAAUCAGAACUCAGUGAAGGAAUCUACUUCAGUUAAUGUUUUACGGAGUCAGAUAAGACAUGUCUUAUCACGUCUUCAAAUAAAUGGGUGAUUGAUUCAAGUGCAACAAAUCACAUGACAGGGCUGGAACGUGGGUCAAAAGAGGUGUGGGUGCUGCUGGUUCGAUUCUCGGUGAAUCUGUAUUCAGUCCUUUUUACUUUGAACAGUUGAGUACAAAAAAUUUCAUCUUUCGUUCUAAGAAACAUUCAUACAGAUUUCGAAUUAAUCGUUGCAAACUGAUUUCGUUUUCAAAAUUUUUCCGAUAAAUUUUGAAAACAAAGAGUCAGACUCUUAUUUUCAAGUGUACAUAAUGUGAAAUUGAAGCAACUUAACCACGCUCUGAUAUCAAUGUAAUACUCAUGUAGGUACAAUAUAAAAUUUGUGUACCUUAUUGUUGCAGUGAAUUGAAAUCACAAACCGACAAGUGUUGCUCCAAGUGUCUUCGUUUUAAUCAAUAGAAAAUAAAGACUUAGUUUAUCACAAACUAGAUGCCUUUUUGGUGUUAAUGUUUAGUGAAGAAAGAUAGUUCCUCUUUUUGAUUUUUCUGUUUAGUUUUUCGUCACUCUCAUUUCUGAGGAAGAAGCCAUCCCUUCUUAAAGGGUGUUCUUUAAUUAAUCAGUUAAAAAGUUAAUUGUUCCCCACAUAUUUUUUAAUCAAGAAAAAAAACUUUAUCUUCUUUUCCAAGAGUAAACAAAAACGGGUCGAUGAUCAAGAAGGAUGCGCUAAUAAAAUUGA